GACGAACCGUGCGAACGUUGUUCGGAAUCACUGGGCUUAAAGGGCGCGUAGGCGGCCGUCCGAGUCCGGGGUGAAAUCUUUCGGCCUAACCGGAAAAGGGCCUUGGAUACUGGACGGCUCGAGGGGGGUAGGGGCAAGCGGAACUUCCGGUGGAGCGGUGAAAUGCGUUGAUAUCGGAAGGAACGCCGGCGGCGAAAGCGGCUUGCUGGACCCCUCCUGACGCUGAGGCGCGAAAGCCAGGGGAGCGAACG
rnacentral:rRNA from 1 species